AGUGCCGAGUUAAAAGAGGCAUAGUGAUCUUCUUUUACUUCUAAAUCCGCCUUCUGACUAGGUUUCAUAAUAGUCUUUCGUAUAGUCUAAAGUAGACAGUGUAGCCCAUCUCUUUCCGCUUCAUAUGCUGCACCUUGACCUGACGUGUUGGCGCGGGGGCGUUAAGCUCACUAGUUAGCGCUCACGGGGUAAGCUGACGACGGAGGUAUACAGGCUGAGAAACUAGAAGGGGUGAGGUAAAACGGGGGUUAUCGAUUAUAGGACAGGCUCCUCUAGGUGGAUUUGGGGUACCGUCAAGUCCCUUGGGUUUUAAGCU
rnacentral:rRNA from 1 species